GACGAACGCUGGCGGCGUGCCUAAUACAUGCAAGUCGAACGCUUUUUCUUUCACCGGAGCUUGCUCCAUCGAAAGAAAAAGAGUGGCGAACGGGUGAGUAACACGUGGGUAACCUGCCCAUCAGAGGGGGAUAACACUUGGAAACAGGUGCCAAUACCGUAUAACACUAUUUUCCGCAUGGAAGAAAGUUGAAAGGCGCUUUUGCGUCACUGAUUGAUGGACCCGCGGUGCAUUGGCUAGUUGGUGAGGUAACGGCUCACCAAGGCAACGAUGCAUAGCCGACCGGAGAGGGUGAUCGGCCACACUGGGACUGAGACACGGCCCAGACUCCUACGGGAGGCAGCAGUAGGGAAUCUUCGGCAAUGGACGAAAGUCUGACCGAGCAACGCCGCGUGAGUGAAGAAGGUUUUCGGAUCGUAAAACUCUGUUGUUAGAGAAGAACAAGGAUGAGAGUAAAAUGUUCAUCCCUUGACGGUAUCUAACCAGAAAGCCACGGCUAACUACGUGCCAGCAGCCGCCGUAA
rnacentral:rRNA from 1 species